UACAGAGGUCUCAAGCGUUGUUCGGAUUCAUUGGGCGUAAAGGGUGCGUAGGCGGCGCGGUAAGUCGGGUGUGAAAUCUCGGAGCUUAACUCCGAAACUGCAUUCGAUACUGCCGUGCUUGAGGACUGGAGAGGAGACUGGAAUUUACGGUGUAGCGGUGAAAUGCGUAGAUAUCGUAAGGAAGACCAGUGGCGAAGGCGGGUCUCUGGACAGUGCCUGACGCUGAGGCACGAAGGCCAGGGGAGAAAACGGG
rnacentral:rRNA from 1 species